GUGUGUCACGGCUGGGGCAGCAGUCGUGUGGUGGAGUUAAAUGAGGACCCAAGAUGCAAGAAACGUCGAGAUGCAGGUUGCUUGGAGGAUCUGUUGGUGUCCUGUAGUGUGAUGGAAAUAUUAGGUUGUCAAGGUUCUGAGGAGGACUAACCCCUGAAAAGCAGGUGGCGCUGAAAACACCUCUCCAGCGUGUCAUUAAAUUGGCACAAUUCAUCUGUGGAGUACCCUUCCCUCGACUACAUCAUCACAAUAUCAUCAAGGACUGCACCAACCCACAGCACACACUGUUCAUACUCCUGCCAUCUGGUAGACGCUACAGGAGUGUGAACGCGAGGACAACCAGACUAAAAAACAGUUUCCAUCUACAGGCUAAUCUGUCAGGGGAGCGGAUAAAAAACUGACUCAACAGCAGAGCUCCUUGCAGAUAAACACCAACAGAAAAAAAGCGGAGGCCCGAAAAACAGGUGGGGAUCCUCCACCACCACCACUCACAGAGGCUGAGCAGUUGGCCCUCAGCCAAAACAGUGGGCGCCCUGUGGCUGAAGGCAUCUCUGCAGGGACAUCCUCUGAGUCAAUAACCCCGCAAGACACAAGUGCCUACAUAAGAGGUAAAUUCAAAAUAAUACAUGAUGUGCAUACAUCCUUUCUUCACAGUCACCUUUGCAGUGCUACUCAUUCAUUUGAUAAACUCUUUACCAUAAUGAAUUAUUUUGUAGUGAAGUUAUCUUCCUACUGAUUUUGCCUUCCCUCAGUCUUGGUUGUCUUUGAGAGCAUAAUGACAAUGAACUGUAAGGUGAUUGGUAUAUGUUUGUUAAUUGCCAUUUGGUCCCUUGUAAGUUAUAAGUGACCUGUAUAAACCUCAUAUUCUAUCAGUUGAUGGUGAUGGUGUACUGCAUCUGGUGCAGCCUCCUGUUGAGCCAGACCAACAUGCAGUUGUGAGUACUCUUAAUACUCCACAGAUUAUAUGAGUUUACAGUAGAACAGCAAUGUUGUUAAUUUCUCUACUACAGGAAAUUGAAGAAACAUUGACAGCUGUUACAGAGGAGGAAGCAACAGAGACACUUUAUGAGGUUUACAUCUUACAAUGGAAAAUAUAACAAUUGAAUAAAAUGUGGUACUAUAAUAAAACCAUGGACUUUCUAUGUCUCUAACAGAGUGAUGAUGGAAAUGCAGAGGAAGAGGGUCCAGCCACUUCUCCAACAAACCUUUGCUCAGUAAGAUGUUCAGCACUGAUUUACAACCAACCUAAGUAGGCAUGUACUAUGAAUGUCAAUGCUAUUUCCUGUGUUUCCAUAGCUCCCUGUAAAGCAGCUGUAUAAGAAAUAUUUGAUCAAGAAAAUAGAAAAAAUAGAAAAAUGCGACUUGGAAAUGGAACACAGCAGCAGAUCCAAAAGACCAAGAUUGAGAUU